rnacentral:rRNA from 1 species
AUUAUUUUUUUAGAUUCUUUUUUAUUGUUGAAAAAAUUAAAAACAAAUUGUUUUUUACAAUAAUUAAAAUUUAUAAUAUUUCAAUUUUUAAUUUUUAGUUUUAAAUAAAAAUUACAAAUAUGAAAAAUAAAAAAAUUUUGUUAUAAAUUAAAUUAAUUUAUUUAUAUUAAAAAUAUUUUUUAUAAUUUUUAUUUUUUUUAUUUUUUUAAAAAAAAAAUAAUUUAAUUAUAAUUAUUUAUUUAAAUUUAAUAAUUAAAUAUAAAAUUUUUUAUUAAAUAAAUUUAAUAAUAAAUGAUUUUUAAAUUCUUUGAGGUUUUGAUUUUUGAUUUUUUGUUUCUGCUCAUUGUUAAAGAAAAGCACUUUUAGCGUGAUUGGUCAAAGGUA